GAUGAACGCUGGCGGCGUGCCUAAUACAUGCAAGUCGAGCGAACAGAUGAGGAGCUUGCUCCUCUGACGUUAGCGGCGGACGGGUGAGUAACACGUGGAUAACCUACCUAUAAGACUGGGAUAACUUCGGGAAACCGGAUCUAAUACCGUAUAAUAUAUUGAACCACAUGGUUCAAUAGUGAAGUACGAUUUUGCUGUCACUUAUAGAUGGAUCCGCGCGGCAUUAGCUAGUUGGUAAGGUAACGGCUUACCAAGGCAACGAUGCGUAGCCGACCUGAGAGGGUGACCGGCCACACUGGAACUGAGACACGGUCCAGACUCCUACGGGGGGAAGCAGUAGGGAAUCUUCGGAAAUGGGCGAAAGCCUGACGGAGCAACGCCGCGUGAGUGAUGAAGGUCUUCGGAUCUUAAAACUCUGUUAUUAGGGAAAACCAAAUGUGUAAGUAACUAUGCACGUCUUGACGGUACCUAAUCAGAAAGCCACGGCUAACUACGUG
rnacentral:rRNA from 1 species